CAAAGUGGGUGGUAAACUCCAUCCAGGCUAAAUACUGGCACGAGUCCGAUAGUAAACAAGAAACUCCAUCCAAGGCUAAAUACUGGCACGAGUCCGAUAGUAGACAAGUACCGUGAGGGAAAGUUGAAAAGUACUCUGAAGAGAGAGUAAAUAGUACGUGGAAUUUCGCAAAAGGCAUACGGUGGAGUCAAGCUUCAUGCUUGGAGAAUUCUCGCUCGGGGCCUUGCUGUGUUUUGGGCAUAGCCCAUCACCGAAGUCUAUUCACUCUUGUUUGUGGACAGGACAAUGUGGUGUUUAGGUGUGUACCUGGGAGCGCUUGCCUACUCGAAGUGAACAGGACAAUGUGGUGUUCGGGCAUGCAUGCUUGGAAGAUUGUCUUUCGAUCCUAUCCUGUGUCAGGUACUGGCACGAGUCCGAUAGGGUGGAGUCAAGCUUCAUGUUCAGAGGAUUUGUAGAGAAGCUGGUGG
rnacentral:rRNA from 1 species